GUCGAGAAUAAUUCACAAUGGGGGAAACCCUGAUGGUGCAACGCCGCGUGGAGGAUGAAGGUCUUCGGAUUGUAAACUCCUGUCAUCCGGGAGUAAGACCUGGCUGUGAAUAGCAGACAGGGUUGAUAGUACCGGAAGAGGAAGGGACGGCUAACUUCGUGCCAGCAGCCGCGGUAAUACGAAGGUCCCGAGCGUUGUUCGGAAUCACUGGGCGUAAAGGGAGCGUAGGCGGCGCGGUAAGUCAGAUGUGAAAUCCCGGGGCUCAACCCCGGAACUGCAUCCGAUACUGCCGUGCUAGAGGAUUGGAGAGGUAGCUGGAAUUCUUGGUGUAGCAGUGAAAUGCGUGGAGAUCAAGAGGAACACUCGUGGCGAAAGCGAGCUACUGGACAAUAUCUGACGCUGAGGCUCGAAGGCCAGGGUAGCGAAAGGGAUUAGAAACCCGGGUAGUCC
rnacentral:rRNA from 1 species